rnacentral:tRNA from 1 species
CGGGGCGUGGCGCAGCCUGGUAGCGCAUCUGCUUUGGGAGCAGAGGGUCGGAGGUUCAAAUCCUCUCGCCCCGA